CCUACGGGAGGCAGCAGUAGGGAAUCUUCCGCAAUGGGCGAAAGCCUGACGGAGCAACGCCGCGUGAGUGAUGAAGGUCUUAGGAUCGUAAAACUCUGUUGUUAGGGAAGAACAAAUUUGUUAGUAACUGAACAAGUCUUGACGGUACCUAACCAGAAAGCCACGGCUAACUACGUGCCAGCAGCCGCGGUAAU
rnacentral:rRNA from 1 species